CUGCCAAGUGCUGGAGCAGCGAGGAGCAUCCCAGGCUUGUUUCCAUCCCAGAUGCUGGAUGUUUCGCUGCGCACACUUCAGACCCUUGUCAUGGUGGUGUCACUGCUGCAGAGACAGGAGGCUCAACCACCGAGUUCACCUGGAGCUGGCUGCAGGAGACGUUACACAGAGGAAGAGCAGUGGCUACAAACUGGAGGACUGCUAAUCUAAUAAUUAUCAGCUUGGAGUGUUUUAAAACAGCCUUCAGGAUGUUGGUCUAAAGUUUGCUGCCUGCACCAGGAACGUUUGGGAAAGCUGCUGAGAUCACCAAGAGAAGAUGGAUGUGAUGGUUUUCUGAGGAGAGGGGGCAGCGUGGAAGUACCUUUCCCUGCCUUCCUUCAGGACGGUGACCUUUUCCACGGGGGGGACGUCGGGUGGACACUGCAGAUGGUCUGGUCAGUGGGAAAGUCAUCCUUUGGUGAUGGAUCAGAAGGCAGAGCUUGCGUGAGCCAAGGUAUGUCUCAAAUCCGGAGGGAGGGAUGGCUUGGCUGGCUCAGGAGAGGGUGCUGCAGCAUUCACUG
rnacentral:lncRNA from 1 species